UGCAGUCGACGGUGACGAGGGGCUUGCUCCUCUGAUCAGUGGCGAACGGGUGAGUAACACGUGAGUAACCUGCCCUUCACUCUGGGAUAACGCUGGGAAACUGGUGCUAAUACUGGAUAUGACCUGCUCGGGCAUCCGAUGUGGGUGGAAAGAUUUAUUGGUGGAGGAUGGACUCGCGGCCUAUCAGCUUGUUGGUGAGGUAAUGGCUCACCAAGGCGACGACGGGUAGCCGGCCUGAGAGGGCGAUCGGCCACACUGGGACUGAGACACGGCCCAGACUCCUACGGGAGGCAGCAGUGGGGAAUAUUGCACAAUGGGCGAAAGCCUGAUGCAGCGACGCCGCGUGAGGGAUGAAGGCCUUCGGGUUGUAAACCUCUUUCAGCAGGGAAGAAGCGUCUGGGUUUUCUCAGGUGUGACGGUACCUGCAGAAGAAGCACCGGCUAACUACGUGCCAGCAGCCGCGGUAAUACGUAGGGUGCAAGCGUUGUCCGGAAUUAUUGGGCGUAAAGAGCUUGUAGGCGGUUUGUCGCGUCUGCUGUGAAAUUUCGGGGCUCAACCCCGAACUUGCAGUGGGUACGGGCAGACUAGAGUGUGGUAGGGGAGACUGGAAUUCCUGGUGUAGCGGUGAAAUGCGCAGAUAUCAGGAGGAACACCGAUGGCGAAGGCAGGUCUCUGGGCCACUACUGACGCUGAGAAGCGAAAGCAUGGGGAGCGAACAGGAUUAGAUACAAUCACU
rnacentral:rRNA from 1 species